rnacentral:misc_RNA from 1 species
UUGACAUCGUAAUAAAUUGCUCAGACGGACACGUGAACGGGUUCGGGGUUAGGGGUCCCUGGCGGGCGCACGCGAGCCGGAGCCAGCGGCCGUAAGGACGGCCCGCCAAAGCAACAAACGGGGCGAGUAAGCAGGGGGUGGAGGGUCUACCCCCGGGGGGGGGGGCAUAAACUCGGUAAUGAUCCUUCCGCAGGUUCACCUACGGAAA